AUUCCAGCUCCAAUAGCGUAUAUUAAAGUUGUUGUGGUUAAAAAGCUCGUAGUUGGAUUUCGGCGGGUAGUGGUUGGUUUGAAUUGAUUCAACACUGACUUUUUUACCCGUGUGUUUUGCCAGAAUCUUACGGGUGAUCUUUACCGAUUGUCCGUUGGAACUGGCAGGUUUACUUUGAAAAAAUUAGAGUGCUCAAAGCAAGCUUACUGCUUGAAUAGUUGCGCAUGGAAUAAUAGAAUAGGAAGUCGUUUCUAUUUUGUUGGUUUUCGGAAAUCGACUUAAUGAUUAAUAGGGAUAGUUGGGGGCAUUAGUAUUUAUUAGCUAGAGGUGGAAUUCUCUAAUUUGAUAAAGACUAACUUAUGCGAAAGCAUUUGCCAAGGAUGUUUUCAUCA
rnacentral:rRNA from 1 species